GAGUAUUUCUUGAAGGAUUAAUGGAGGCAUUCCCUCUGCUUCCUUGUGAGGUCACCAGCUUGUAUUCUGAGAGGUAUCCUGUCUCCUAGACUGCAUGAAUAAGGGAACUCCCUCACUUUAGAAUCAUCUACAAAAAGUCUAAGAUCAUACAGAAAGAGAAGAAAAGAAGAAAGAAGGGAAGAAACGGAGAGGGGAGACAAGAAAAAGGAAGGAGAGGACUGGGAAGGGAAAAGAAAAAGGAGGUCAGGAAAGGCAGGGCUUGAAAGCCCCUGAUCUUGUCUGAGGAGUAGGUAGAAAAUGCCUUCAUUUUAGGCUCCAGAAGCCUGCAUGGAUCCUGGCUAACUGCUGAGCUAUUGUUUUCAUUUCCCAUGAAGAGAUCUGCCUCCAGGAGCACAGGGCUCAGGUGAAGUUUAACACUGUCAAUUCCCCUACUUGCCUAAGCCAAAUGAACAUCAUUCAUUGCUGAACAACUCAGAGGUGAUUGUAAACCAGAGUGGAGCAAAGCAGGUUCUGAGAAAUAGGCUCCUGAGGACUCUCGUUGAAUUGUUCCUGUAAAAUCAGUUAAAUCAUCUGUUGAGAGGUGUGGCAAAGGCACAGACUUCACAAAAUGCUAUGGGGAUGAAUGCAAAGCAGGUCUGAAAUACUGACCACCGCUGCAGCAACAGGAGGCUGCUGUUGUACUUGACAGGCCUUGCUGCUUUUCCAUAUCCAGGGAAGUAUUAAGUCUGGAAAAGUACUUAGUAUUAGAUUUUACGGAAGCUAGCCUAAUAAUCUAAAUAUUAUCCUUUUGUGGAAGCACAGGUCGGAGAAGCAAGAUAAUGACACAUUCCAUAUUAUUCCGUCUCCAAGUUUCUUGGAGGAGAAAUAAUAUCCCUCUCUUUUCAUUGGAAAGUUAAAAGCCAUCCUCAAACAGAGUCUUGUCCUUUUCUUUCUUUAUGCCCUUUAUAAUUAUUACUAAGCUUAUGUUUUUACUAUUUGUUAGUGAUCUGUAGUAUUACUACUGAUCCUAUGCUAUUAUCAUACUGCAGACAGACGUUUUUGAAGAUUCUUUUCUAUUUCCCUUGAAAGCCAGGUUACUGAAUGAAAAAGGAAAAAGAGACAUAGGUGUUCUCUGCUGAAUUUUGCAAAGAGCCUACUAAGGGCUUUGUAAAUUAACAAAUGACUCAGUUACCAGAGUGUCUGACCCCUUUCAUCUGGAUCUCGGAACAGGGCCUAGAUCCUUAUUUUUAAAGGGAGAAGAUCUCCAUGAGGGGUAAAGGCUGAUGGCUCCCCAGGCAGGUACUUUUUGCUUAUGGACAAAAUUGGGCAAAGUUAUUGAAUUAUUGAAAAAAUGUGAAAUCAGUGACCAAAGAAUUGUUGUCAUAG